rnacentral:rRNA from 1 species
AACGCGAAGAACCUUACCCGGGCUUGAACUACGGAUGGUAAGUCCCUAGAAACAGGGGCUGACCCGCAAGGGAGUCCGCAGAGGUGCUGCAUGGUUGUCGUCAGCUCGUGUCGUGAGAUGUUGGGUUAAGUCCCGCAACGAGCGCAACCCCUAUUCGAUGUUGCUAAUCCCGUAAGGGAUGCACUCUUCGAAAACUGCCUUCGAUAAGAAGGAGGAAGGUGGGGACGACGUCAAAUCCUCAUGGCCCUUAUGUCCGGGGCUACACACGUGUUACAAUGGCCGGUACAAUGGGAAGCAAUGCCGCAAGGUGGAGCCAAACCCACAAAGCCGGCCCCAGUUCAGAUUGUGGGCUGCAACUCGCCCACAUGAAGGCGGAAUCGCUAGUAAUCGCUGAUCAGCAGGCAGCGGUGAAUACGUUCCCGGGCCUUGUA